rnacentral:lncRNA from 1 species
CGUGUUUUAUAAAAAAUUAAACAGAGGUGAAUUAACUUUAUUCGACACAAAUACGGUAUAUACCCACGCAGUCAGGAAAUAAUAUUUAAAUUUUUCGAUAAAAUAGGUUAAAGAAAAAAUGAGUCGAAGAUAGAUUGAUUAAGUGGACGCAAAUUGCGAUAGAAAGUCCCCUAAAACGUUUUGCUAACCGGCAUCUGGAUAUAAUAAAUAACCGCACGCAUUUAUAAUUGCCCUAUACUCAACCAAUAGAUUUUGAAAAUGCGUAACGACGCGAUAAAACGUCACACUUUUAUCUCAGGUCAGUUUCAAUUGGUCUUGCGUCACUUGAUGGAUACCAGUUAUAAAUUCGGAGUUAGGUUAAAGAAAAUAAUAAAAAUUGAGAAAGAAAAAUUGUUUUUAUGGUAGAGAGGAAAACUUCUAUCUCCGGUUUUCAAGGUCGACCGCGUAAGAAAAUCGACCAAUGAUGUGUUUUUGGUGUAGGAAGGGGAGAAAAAACUUGACGUAACUAUACCUCACCUUAUUCUCAUAAAGGUUUGUUUAGCGAAAGGUACGCAAAGAUUUAGUGGAUUUCGGUUCUAUUUUAGAAAAGAAGCAGGAACUAAAACAUUUUUGGGAGAGAAAAAUGAUGGAAGUUGUAGCACCAAAUAUGGAAGAAACAAGGCUUCCACCUGUUGUCGUUAAUGGUCACUGUAAACUGAAACAAAAUGGAGUUAUUAAAUGCCAAGAAACAGGAAUGAUUGAACCAGAAAUGUACAGAAGACCUUCGCCUGAAGGGGAAGAAAGCACUGUUCUUUCUGAAACCGUUGAAAAACCAUCUUUAGAAAAUCAUAUUUCAUCGCCUCAA